GCUUGCAUUCUGACCAAAACAAAGCGGUCAGAGCAUAUAACUCCAAUCCUAGAGUCCUUGCACUGGCUUCCAGUCAGCUUUAGAAUAGAUUUAAAGUUCUGCUACUGCUCUAUAAAUCACUAAAUGACUUGGGUCCUGAAUACAUGAAAGAAAUGCUUAUAGAAUACAAACCCAGUGGAGCUCUGAGAUCGACUGACUCAGGUCAAAUAGCGGAGAGCAGAGUCCCAAGCAAACAUGGUGAAGCAGCAUUUAGCUAUUACGAUGCACACAAAUGGAAUAAGGUGCCAACAGAGGUUAGGUCAGCCCCAAGUGUGAAUGCUUUAAAUCCAGUGGGAGGAAACUGGAGUGCCCAGAGAAAACCCACCCAGGGACAGGGAGAAGAUGCAAGCUCCAGACGGUUGAUGCUGGGAUUUGAACCCUUGUCCUCAAAAAUUCAAAACAACCCUCUGAUGGAAACACGAACUACAACCUGGCCCUUGAGAGAAAUGAGUUUGACACCCCUGCUCCAACCAGUCAAACACUGUGCUUAUUAAUAUUGUAAAUGUGUUUUUUUGUAAUAUUGUAUUGUAUAAGACUGUCUUUUAAGCAUUUUCAAGGAUAUUGCCUGGGAGCAUGAGGCCUAUGCACACUAUCAAGGUAUCCGUCACACACAAUAUCUAACUUCUAGGACUGCACUUUUUGGUACAAAGGUUAUUUUUAACCAAAAAGUAGUCAAAUCAUCAA